CUGUAACAUCCCUGUCUAUCCUCUGUUGUAGAGAGACUGUAACAUCCCUGUCUAUCCUCUAUGUUGUAGAGAGACUGUAACAUCCCUGUCUAUCCUCUGUUGUAGAGAGACUGUAACAUCCCUGUCUAUCCUCUGUUGUAGAGAGACUGUAACAUCCCUGUCUAUCCUCUGUUGUAGAGAGGCUGUAACAUCCCUGUCUAUCCUCUGUUGUAGAGAGACUGUAACAUCCCUGUCUAUCCUCUGUUGUAGAGAGACUAACAUCCCUGUCUAUCCUCUGUUGUAGAGAGACUAACAUCCCUGUCUAUCCUCUAUGUUGUAGAGAGACUGUAACAUCCCUGUCUAUCCUCUAUGUUGUAGAGAGACUGUAACAUCCCUGUCUAUCCUCUAUGUUGUAGAGAGACUGUAACAUCCCUGUCUAUCCUCUAUGUUGUAGAGAGGCUGAUACAUCCCUGUCUAUCCUCUGUUGUAGAGAGACUGUAACAUCCCUGUCUAUCCUCUGUGUUGUAGAGAGACUGGUAACAUCCCUGUCUAUCCUCUGUUGUAGAGAGACUGUAACAUCCCUGUCUAUCCUCUAUGUUGUAGAGAGACUGUAACAUCCCUGUCUAUCCUCUAUGUUGUAGAGAGACUGUAACAUCCCUGUCUAUCCUCUGUUGUAGAGAGACUGUAACAUCCCUGUCUAUCCUCUGUUGUAGAGAGACUGUAACAUCCCUGUCUAUCCUCUAUGUUGUAGAGAGACUGUAACAUCCCUGUCUAUCCUCUGUUGUAGAGAGACUGUAACAUCCCUGUCUAUCCUCUGUUGUAGAGAGACUGUAACAUCCCUGUCUAUCCUCUGUUGUAGAGAGA
rnacentral:lncRNA from 1 species